GACGAACGCUGGCGGCGUGCUUAACACAUGCAAGUCGAGCGAUGAAACCCUUCGGGGUGGAUUAGCGGCGGACGGGUGAGUAACACGUGGGUAACCUGCCUCAAAGAGGGGGAUAGCCUCCAGAAAGGGAGAUUAAUACCGCAUAACAUUAGUUUUUCGCAUGGAGAACUAAUUAAAGGAGUAAUCCGCUUUAAGAUGGACCCUCGGCGCAUUAGCUAGUUGGUGAGGUAACGGCUCACCAAGGCGACGAUGCGUAGCCGACCUGAGAGGGUGAUCGGCCACAUUGGAACUGAGACACGGUCCAGACUCCUACGGGAGGCAGCAGUGGGGAAUAUUGCACAAUGGGCGAAAGCCUGAUGCAGCAACGCCGCGUGAGUGAUGAAGGCCUUCGGGUUGUAAAGCUCUGUCUUUUGGGACGAUAAUGACGGUACCAAAGGAGGAAGCCACGGCUAACUACGUGCCAGCAGCCGCAGUAA
rnacentral:rRNA from 1 species